rnacentral:rRNA from 1 species
AGCAGCCGCGGUAAUUCCAGCUCCAAUAGCGUAUAUUAAAGUUGUUGCAGUUAAAAAGCUCGUAGUUGAAUUUCGGGGUCAGUAGGUCGGUCGUGCCACUGGUAUGAACUGGUUUUACUGAUUCCUCCCUCUUGAAGAACUGUAAUGCCAUUAAUUUGGUGUUGCAGGGAAUCAGGACUGUUACUUUGAAAAAAUUGAGUGUUUAAAGCAGGCUUUAGCUUGAAUACAUUAGCAUGGAAUAAUGAAAUAGGACGUUUGAUCCUAUUUUGUUGGUUUCUAGGAUUGACGUAAUGAUUAAUAGGGAUAGUUGGGGGCAUUAGUAUUCAAUUGUCAGAGGUGAAAUUCUUAGGAUUUUAUUGAAGACUAACUACUGCGAAGGCAUUUGCCAAGGAUGUUUCAUUCAUCAAGACGAAAGUUAGGGAUCGAAGACGAUCAGAUACCGUCGUAGUCUUAACCAUAAACUNUGACCGACGUAGGGAUCGGGAUGAUGUUAAUUUUUAANGUACUNAGUUCGGCGCCG